rnacentral:rRNA from 1 species
CAGUCGCACGGUAAAACGUAGGUGGCAAGCGUUAUCCGGAAUUAUUGGGCGUAAAGCGCGCGUAGGCGGUUUUUUAAGUCUGAUGUGAAAGCCCACGGCUCAACCGUGGAGGGUCAUUGGAAACUGGAAAACUUGAGUGCAGAAGAGGAAAGUGGAAUUCCAUGUGUAGCGGUGAAAUGCGCAGAGAUAUGGAGGAACACCAGUGGCGAAGGCGACUUUCUGGUCUGUAACUGACGCUGAUGUGCGAAAGCGUGGGGAUCAAACAGGAUUAGAUACCCCGGUAGUCCCUGUCUCUUAUACA